rnacentral:misc_RNA from 1 species
AAGAGGUGCACCAGCUGAAGAAGAACCAAAUGACGGAGCAGUAGAUUAUGAGAAGCAAAGGGCUGAGAGAAUCAAAGAGAACAAAGAGAGACUGCACAAACUUGGUAUUCUCGAACUCACAAAAAAACUAAAUCCCCCUUCCAAGAAACUCACCACUCCUCGAAUCAGCCGCCGGGCGGUGUCAAUUGAUGACCCACCUCGCCGCUCUUUUAGGUUGAAGGAUAAGCCUCCAG